ACUAUUCAGGAUCAGAUCAAAGAUUUAUAAUCUAAUUAUUUUCCUUUUCCUAUUCUUUCUUACCACAGGCAAACAGACAUCAGUUCUGGUUUUGUAGGAUGUUCUAAUACUUUCAGUGGCCUUAAAUAUCAGCAUGGUAGAAAGAAGAAGGUGUGACUUGCCAAAUCAGAUCCCUAGGGAUGGAAGAUGGAAAUGAGGAAGUAUAUCCCUAUUGAGAAUGUUGCACAGAAACUUGGAUAAUUACUGUAACAGUAUCAUUAAAUGUUAUGUUUAAAUAUACUGGGAGCCAAUUUUGGAGAAACAUUUGGAAUAUAUAGAGAAGAAUGCGAUACUUCAUAGUGACUUAUAAUUUUCAGGUAGUUGUACUUCUGGGAAGGAUCCUUCCCUUACUUGUGCUG
rnacentral:lncRNA from 1 species